rnacentral:rRNA from 1 species
CCUACGGGAGGCAGCAGUGAGGAAUAUUGGUCAAUGGACGAGAGUCUGAACCAGCCAAGUAGCGUGAAGGAUGACUGCCCUAUGGGUUGUAAACUUCUUUUAUAUGGGAAUAAAACGUUCCACGUGUGGGAUUUUGUAUGUACCAUAUGAAUAAGGAUCGGCUAAAUACGUGCCAGGAGCCGCGGUAAUACGGAGGAUCCGAGAGUUAUCCGGAUUUAUUGGGUUUAAAGGGGGCGUAGGUGGAUUGUUAAGUCAGUUGUGAAAGUGUGCGGCCCAACCGUAAAAUUGCAGUUGAAACUGGUCGUCUUGAGUACAGUAGAGGUGUGCGGAAUGCGUGGUGUAGCGGUGAAAUGCUUAGAUAUCACGAAGAACUCCGAUUGCGAAGGCAGUUCACUGGACUGCAACUGACACUGAGGCUCGAAAGUGUGGGUAUCAAACAGGAUUAGAUACCCCUGUAGUC